CUGUGCCUAUAACUUCUUAUUUUAAUUUUUUGGUCUUCUAUUGUUCUAUUGUUUGUUUUGUUUGGAGUUUGGAUUUGAAUGAAACCUUGAGUUGAGGGUUGUUGAACUUCAGCAGGAGCUUUAUUAUUCUUGAAACAGACAAUUGUUAAGUAGUUUUGUUAAGUCUUACCUAAACAAAGGUGAACGUUUUAAAAUUUACUUGUUUGAAGUAGGCCUAUCCUGUGAAUCAUAGAUCAAAUAGCGAUCUAUUAAUAGUGAGCUAGUGUCCUAAUCCUGUGAACAUGUAGUUUAUGGAAGUUAUUACCGGCCCACAAAAUUGCAGAUGAAUAACACGUGGAGUCUAUUUUGAUUACCUACAACUUCAGGAUACUCGGUUUAUAAACUGUAUUCAACCUACUGAAAUGUUGGCCAUGACUUUGAGAAAUUACAAUACACCUUCCCAGAUAUAAUGAAAAGGAUCUUCUAUUCGGCGAAGUGAAGCUUAUUGAGAUCAUCUCAGGAUACAAUAGUACUUUAAGAAACAGCUAAAAAGAAAUUGCAAUACACCUUCCCAGAUAUAAUGAAAAGGAUCUUCUAUUCGGCGAAGUGAAACUUAUUGAGAUCAUCUCAGGAUACAAUAGUAGCCUACUUUAAGCAACAGCUUAAAGAAACAUAAUAAUCAUACAGGUUAUUAUGUUUC